rnacentral:pre_miRNA from 14 species
CAGGUUGAUCAAGUGCCCUGGUUUGCCUGGGGCUGAGGGUUUUUCCAGGGCAGGGGACUUUCUUUCAGUUCUGGGCAAACCAGGGUGGUUGGUCACCCUAGUGAUAA